rnacentral:rRNA from 1 species
GCUAAACGCGAAGAACCUUACCUGGUCUUGACAUCCAUGGAACCCUGCAGAGAUGCGGGGUGCGUAAGGAACAUGAGACAGGUGCUGCAUGGCUGUCGUCAGCUCGUGUCGUGAGAUGUUGGGUUAAGUCCCGCAACGAGCGCAACCCUUGUCCUUAGUUGCCAUCAUUUAGUUGGGCACUCUAGAGGGACUGCCGGUGAUAAGCCGGAGGAAGGUGGGGAUGACGUCAAGUCUUCAUGGCCCUUACGGGCUGGGCUACACACGUGCUACAAUGGCGGUGACAGAGGGCAGCUAGUCCGCGAGGACAUGCUAAUCCCUAAAAGCCGUCUCAGUUCGGAUUGCACUCUGCAACUCGAGUGCAUGAAGUUGGAAUCGCUAGUAAUCGCAGAUCAGCACGCUGCGGUGAAUA